GUUCUUGGAUUGUCUGUGUAAAUGUUAUUUGUUUCUGUUUACUAACCUCCCUUAUUUUCCUAGAGGAAGAGGAGGAAAGAGAGGCAUAACAAAGGCCAUCUCCGUCCCUCCCUAGCUCUCUUGCUAUCAGGACUGCAGCCAGCUGGCUGCUCUCACGAGGGUGGGGGUGCGUGCUCUCAGUACAGGCGGGCAAAGACAGGAGCUCUGGACAGGGCAAUGGGGACUGCCUGCAACUGACAAAAACUGUGUGAACACUAAAGAGAGAAUCUGACCCUCCCUUCCUUUACUGUGAUAACUUCAAGGUCUCUUCUGCCAGCCAGCAGCUUCUCUUGUUAACCCUUCUCUGUCCUGAUAUUGCUUAAAAAGAAAUGUUAAAUUACCAGUUCAAGAUACUGGGAAAAUUAUGCUUUUGUUUCCACAGGAAAAAUAAAAAUUUACAUGGGUUUUGGUCAUUUGAGUUCAGUGGGUUACAAAUACUUGCCAUCAUUUAAGAGACUUGGUUUCAAAUUAUUGCUGGUUAAGAUAAAAUAUAAUGUUUUUAUAAAAAAUGACUUGAGAUAUAUAUAUAAAAAAAAACAUGUUUCAGAUUUCUUUGUCUUGCUAUUCUGCUGUUACAUUGAGACUCCAAAGGGUCAUAGUUGUAAAAAUGUCUGUCUACUCUACAGGUAUGAAUGAAAAAUGUGGCCACAUGUAUGUUUGGUUUUGAAUGUCUGAGUUUGCAUGUCCUUUGUGUUAAGGAAUACAAGUUAAUACUAGUCAUCUGGCUAUUCAGAUACUAGUUUAAAGCAUAAACUGUUCUAUUUAAAUAAAAAAAAAAACUAAGAGGUAUAUUUGACUAAUAUAUCUAUAGGAGAACAAAUUGGCCUGGUUAUUGUUACCAAACUUAGAGAUAUUUUCAAGAUUAGGCCUAGAUUUGUUUGGCUCAGAUACAUUUAAUAGAUAAUGGUCCUCAAACCUGUCAAAGAUCUGAUGAAUAUGGCAUUUACAUUAUUUGAUAAAAAGCUUACUAUAGCAAACAGAGACUCCGAGCUCCCCAGCUCCUAGCAAUGACUCCCAAGGUCUCCAAAGAAGAUAUGAAACAACGACAAGAAGAUGCCACCUGAAUUGUGGACAAUGCUGUCCUGACACCUGUCCUGCCAACACUAUGAAGACUAUAGGAGCCUGGGAUGAUGGCAGUCUGGGUUUCCACUUGGCUGACAGAUACAUCCAAGCAUCAUUUGCUGGUGACAACCUACUGCAAAUGACUGUGAGCCCUGAACUUGCUGAAAGCUGAUAUGGACCAAUUCAGCCGAUAUGCAUACCAUCUCUUCAGCUGGUCAAUAAAACGUUCCCUCUUGUCUUUGA